GACGAACGCUGGCGGCGUGCUUAACACAUGCAAGUCGAACGAUGAAACCUAGCUUGCUAGGUCGAUUAGUGGCGAACGGGUGAGUAACACGUGACUAACCUGCCCCUUUCUCUGGGAUAACGCUCCGAAAGGAGUGCUAAUACCGGAUACUCACAUCGAGGCACAUGCCUUGGUGUGGAAAGUUUUUCGGAAAGGGAUGGAGUCGCGGCCUAUCAGCUUGUUGGUGAGGUAACGGCUCACCAAGGCGACGACGGGUAGCCGGCCUGAGAGGGCGACCGGCCACACUGGGACUGAGACACGGCCCAGACUCCUACGGGAGGCAGCAGUGGGGAAUAUUGCACAAUGGGCGCAAGCCUGAUGCAGCGACGCCGCGUGAGGGAUGAAGGUCUUCGGAUUGUAAACCUCUUUCAGUAGGGACGAAGCGAAAGUGACGGUACCUAAAGAAGAAGCACCGGCUAACUACGUGCCAGCAGCCGCAGUAA
rnacentral:rRNA from 1 species